GAUGAAGAACGUAGCGAAAUGCGAUACUUGGUGUGAAUUGCAGAAUCCCGUGAACCAUCGAGUCUUUGAACGCAAGUUGCGCCCGAAGCCAUUAGGCCGAGGGCACGCCUGCCUGGGCGUCACACGUCGUUGCCCCCCCAUCUACUCCUUCGGGAUUGCGAGGGGCGGAUGAUGGCCUCCCGUGCGCCUCGUCGCGCGGUUGGCAUAAAUGCCAAGUCCUCGGCGACGCACGCCACGACAAUCGGUGGUUGCGAAACCUCGGUUGCCCGUCGUGUGCGGUCAUCGCGCAUCGAGGGCUCGAAAAAAUUGCCGGGCUCCGGCUCGGCUUUCAACGCGACCCCAGGUCAGGCGGGGUUACCCGCUGAAUUUAAGCAUAUCAAUAAGCGGAGG
rnacentral:misc_RNA from 1 species